UAAAUAAUUUUUGGUGGAUACGUUCUUUAAAAUUGAUCGUGUUCGAGUUUUAUAAAAAAUUUACAAAUGUAAAACUUGGUAUAAAUUUUACAAUCGAUAUUGAAUCUUCCUCAAUUAUUCUUUUAUAACAAAAGAAAAAAAUAUUGUGAAAAUUCUACCAUCAAAAUUGGAUAGAAAUGAAUAAACUCCAUUUGUGAUUUCUCAAUAUGGUUACACAAGAAACGAAAAUCGCCUUCAAAGUAGUGUACGCUCUAGUAUGGUUAUUUUUUACAAGUUAUUAUUUUUGGGGUGCACAAGAAGUAACUAUAACAACUUCAAUUGAUGAAUCUGGUUGGGUACCAGAUGGAGCAUUUGCAUCUGAAAUUAUGCAAACUGGAGCACAGCCUGAGGAGCAAAGCGCUUAACGUUAUUAAACUUGCAUAAAGAAAUUAACUGUGAUAAAUUUUAAUUAUCUGUCUCUGAUACAAUAAAUGGUGUCAAAUAAAUAUAAACAA